rnacentral:tRNA from 1 species
GCCUUGGUGGUGGAAUGGUAGACGCAGCGGAUUCAAAAUCCGCCGUCCGCAAGGAUGUGCGAGUUCGAGUCUCGCCCGAGGCA